rnacentral:rRNA from 1 species
UACAGAGGUCUCAAGCGUUUGUUCGGAUUCAUUGGGCGUAAAGGGUGCGUAGGCGGCGCGGUAAGUCGGGUGUGAAAUCUCGGGGCUUAACUCCGAAACUGCAUUCGAUACUGCCGUGCUUGAGGACUGGAGAGGAGACUGGAAUUUACGGUGUAGCGGUGAAAUGCGCAGAUAUCAGGAGGAACACCGGUGGCGAAGGCGGAUCUCUGGGCCUGUCCUGACGCUGAGGCGCGAAAGCUAGGGGAGCGAACAGG